UACGGAGGGCGCAAGCGUUGUUCGGAAUUACUGGGCGUAAAGCGCGUGUAGGCGGUCUGGUAAGUCGGUUGUGAAAUCCCCGGGCUCAACCCGGGAACUGCAUCCGAAACUGCUGGGCUAGAGUUCCGGAGAGGAAGGCAGAAUUCCCAAUGUAGGGGUGAAAUCCGUAGAUAUUGGGAGGAAUACCAGUGGCGAAGGCGGCCUUCUGGACGGUGACUGACGCUGAGACGAGAAAGCGUGGGGAGCAAACAGG
rnacentral:rRNA from 1 species